GGGGAUGUAGCUCAAGGGUCAAGUGUUCACCUAGCAUGUGCAAGGUCCUGGUUUCAAUCCCUAGCAUCACAA
rnacentral:tRNA from 1 species